rnacentral:pre_miRNA from 1 species
UCUUCAUUUCACGUGCUCUCUCUCACCGGUCAGAGAGGCGAGAGAUUGUGUGAAAUGAAGAGA